AUCGCCCUCUUUCUUUAGGCCUAACACAUGCAAGUCGAACGGCAGCACAGUAAGAGCUUGCUCUUACGGGUGGCGAGUGGCGGACGGGUGAGGAAUACAUCGGAAUCUACUUUUUCGUGGGGGAUAACGUAGGGAAACUUACGCUAAUACCGCAUACGACCUACGGGUGAAAGCAGGGGAUCUUCGGACCUUGCGCGAUUGAAUGAGCCGAUGUCGGAUUAGCUAGUUGGCGGGGUAAAGGCCCACCAAUGCGACGAUCCGUAGCUGGUCUGAGAGGAUGAUCAGCCACACUGGAACUGAGACACGGUCCAGACUCCUACGGGAGGCAGCAGUGGGGAAUAUUGGACAAUGGGCGCAAGCCUGAUCCAGCCAUACCGCGUGGGUGAAGAAGGCCUUCGGGUUGUAAAGCCCUUUUGUUGGGAAAGAAAAGCAGCAGGUUAAUACCCCGCUGUUCUGACGGUACCCAAAGAAUAAGCACCGGCUAACUUCGUG
rnacentral:rRNA from 1 species